CCCUUAGAUGUUCUGGGCUGCACGCGUACUACAAUGGAACUCGCAUCGAGUCGCGAAACUGAGAAGUUAAGCGAAUCUUGGAAUGUGUUCCGUGACCGGGACAGUUGAUUGCAAUUAUUCAACUCGAACGAGGAAUUCCUUGUAAUCGUGAUUCAUCAUAUCGCGAUGAAUACGUCCCUGCCCUUUGUACACACCGCCCGUCGCACCUACCGAUUGAAUGGUCCGGUGAAGCCUCCGGAUUGGCGCGCACCUCGGUGCCGCCGAGAAGUUGGCUAAACCUUACCAUUUAGAGGAAGGUGAAGUCGUAACA
rnacentral:rRNA from 1 species